rnacentral:lncRNA from 1 species
ACCUGAGAGAAAAGAAAAAGAAAAUAUAGAGCAUCUCAUUCUCCCAAAAAGCUUCAAAGUACAAGAAAGGUAUGUAUCCCCUUAAAAGAGCAAAAAUAGAAUUAGACUUUCACCAUUGUUAUUACCAUCAUCACCAUACACCAUUCAUUCGCCACACAUGCACAUCUUGAUUUGACUUAUUGACUUGUUUCUCUAGAUCCAUGGUUUGACUAUGCAAUAAAUGUCUUAUAAGUAUGUAUUAGCUGUCUCCCACC